rnacentral:snRNA from 1 species
CACCUCUGGUUUCUCUGCAUCACGUAUAAAUCUUUCGCCUUUUACUAAAGAUUUCCGUGUAGAGGAACUUUAUUGAGUUUUAUUCUAUUUUUUAAAACCUCGUGAAUUAUCAUGAGGC